rnacentral:lncRNA from 1 species
UACUUUACGUUCCAGUACCCCUAGGAACAUUUACAGUCCUUGUUCCAGUGCAGUUGGAGAUCAAGACAGAACUUAUUGCAACUCGUCAUGUCUUUCAUUACUGACUGAACUUAUAAAAUCACAAGAGGUCAUAAAGCAGCAACUGGACCUGAUUCUCAAAAAUCAGCAAAAACAAAGCAGUACUCUGCAGCGGGAUGAAACUCCAGAUGCAAGCACAUUUGACCUUCCUUUGUCCAAUUUAUUUGAUUUAGAAAAGCUUGAACAUCAACUAAAGGAGCAGCCCGAACAAAGGAAGAAAGUGGUAAUUUAUUUUACUUAUUGGUAGGUUUUCCACUAAAGAAGCAGUGUGGCGUGUCCUAGGAAAGCUUUUGGUCAACUCCUUGGCUAAACAAAUGAACUGGAGUGGGGCAAACCAAAAAGUGGCUUUUCGUGCACUCACCCUAAGGACUGUCGUAGUCAAUGCAGUGAGGACAAAUGUCCAUACCAAUAGCGCCACUGAUGAAGAGGUGGAGAAAUACAUUACAAGGUGGCUACAACUUGCUCCUGAUAGGGUUGAUGGAAGGAAGGAAAGAGAGCAGCUAAUGUGUCAAAUGUCUAAAUCACUUUAUUUUUUUUAAAUUAUUUUAUUUUAUAACAACAUUUUAAGUGUAUUAAGAUGUUCCCUGAUACUGGGCAAUUUCUGUUUUAAGAUGUCUUGUGCAAUUUCAUAGAUUUUUACAUGGGUAUUUUAAGUUGUUUCCUUUUUUUUAAUUUUGUGCAGUUUCUAAGCUUUUUUUUUUUUUUACAGUCUAUUUGGAAACUUUUGUGCAUGUGCAAUUUCAGAAUUUUUAAAAAAUCUUCCUGUUUACUUAAAUUUGUUUAUAAUGUGUCAUUAUUCUGCAGCUUCAUUGUUAUUGCUUUAUUGAAAUUUUUAAUUCUUGAGUAGUACAACAUGUAUUCAAUUUCAUUAUUAUUUGUUUAAUACUU